rnacentral:rRNA from 1 species
UACGAAGGGGGCUAGCGUUGCUCGGAAUCACUGGGCGUAAAGCGCACGUAGGCGGAUUGCUAAGUCAGGGGUGAAAUCCUGGAGCUCAACUCCAGAACUGCCUUUGAUACUGGCAACCUUGAGUCCGGGAGAGGUUGGUGGAACAGCUAGUGUAGAGGUGAAAUUCGUAGAUAUUAGCUAGAACACCAGUGGCGAAGGCGGCCAACUGGUCCGGUACUGACGCUGAGGUGCGAAAGCGUGGGGGAGCAAACAGG